GGCAAUACGAAAUCCAUCAUUUCUUCAGAGAUCUUUGUAUUACAAGAUACAGGCAAAGAAAAAACAGAGACUCCAAAUUUCUGUAUCACUUCCUCGGUCUCUUAAUGCUGAACUACAUUUGCAAGAUCUGUUUCCUCUUCAUGUGCUAUUGGUUAGACCUGUUGAGGAUACCACAGUUACAGAGAAUUCGGCUGUUUAUCGACUCAGUCAGGCAUC
rnacentral:misc_RNA from 1 species